CCGGGUGGCCUCUGAGAGCUAUGCGGUGGAUCUCCUCAUACAUGUCCACGUUGAAGGUCCUCUGCACGAAGGAGAGGGCCAUCUUUAGGGCCUCCACCCGCAGUGGUGGGCAGUGGUCAGCAAUGAACUGUAGCCGCUCAAUGCGCAUCAGGCCGCUAUAGCUGGCCGCAUACUGCUCCAGGUCCUGGUGUAGGGGCACAAGGAAAGCAAAGAAGUUGAGGCAGGGUGUGCGAGGCAGGAACCCACACUCUGAGCCCCCGGGGCCUGAGUGUUACCGCCAGGAUGCCAAGUUUUCAUCCAAGCCUGGGAGGUGAGGACAUGGGGGCACCAGAACAACCACUGUCCCAGGUGCUGAGAGAGCACUGAGGUUGGCUGGGGGUCUCCGGAGUAGAACUCUGGACUGGGAGGGGCGGGGGACAGGUACUUGUAAGCGCUGGAUGUUGGGCUGAGCAGGGAGGAAACAGCAUUGAAUAGGCUGCCCCCAAAAGAUCUGCCCUCAAGUGGCAUUCAACAAGCAGGGCUCCCCACAUGAGCGGUGAGGGUCUCAAGCUGGGCCAAGAGCCCAAUGUGAGCAGAUGAAGGAAACCCCAAAGGUUUCUGGCUCAUAGAGACGUGACCAGAGAGGUCGCUGAGGGGCAUCAGUCCACUGGGGUGUAGGCUAGUUUGGAGUCUAGCCUAGACUCCCAGCCAGACCAGGACACCCACGGUCCCACGCACUGGGUUCCAUACCAGGGGUGGGGUUCUCCACCACGUAGUUGACAUCAGGCGCAUUCUGGGGUCCUCCUGUGGGUCCACGUCAAUCUGCAUGGGCUCCACGGCCCCCUGCAACACAGGUUGGCACCUCGGCACCUCAGGCUCCCUCUCAUUGCCUGAGGUCAGCUCUGCCCAAGGCCUUUCAAAGCAAGGUUGGACCACUCUCCCACCAGAGCGGUAGCCCUAGUGUGCCCACCCCGAGCAGUCCCAACUCCCACCCAGAAUCCUGGCUUAUGAGCAGAAGCUCCACGCCAGCCUCUCAAUGCCCAACUCUGAAAGAAGAAAGCAGACACCGGAAGGUUCCUAUGCGAUCCCGAGCCCCGUUCUGAUGCAGUUUCCUCCAGACCACACAGCAGGCACGGGCGGCACCAGGACCCCGGUGGCCACACUGGGGGAAAGUCACACCACCGCAGGCAGAAAGGGAAGGAAGGGCCAUCUCGGGGCAGCCCGGGGCCUCGGCCGAGCGCCGGGGAGCUGCCGAGGUACCUCGGAAAACAGCGUGCAGGCCGACAGGCUGGCGCUCAGGCCGCAGUCGCCAGCCGUGCCGGGCCGCAGGUCUGACCUGCUGCCCGGGUCCGAGGCGGACGAGGAGGCCGAGCUGGGUCCCGGGAUGCCCGGCAUCGCG
rnacentral:lncRNA from 1 species